rnacentral:piRNA from 1 species
UGGAGCUGAGACGAAAGGAUGGACCAUGU